rnacentral:ncRNA from 16 species
UACGUUCAUCCCCCUUGGGGGACGCAAGUAAGUCGCGGAACGGAGCGUUCAUCCCAUGUUAGAAUUACUUCUAUCAACCACAAUGUCAUGUGCAGAUGCUGAUCUUAUAAUGCUACGCAUUGAAAAGCAUGAGCAUCUAAAUGCAGAGUGGAAGUUAGAACUGGUCGAGACCAUCAAGGACUAUGUGCCAGAAUGUAAUUCCUACUGGGACGCAAACGACUGAAGGAACGGGAA